ensembl:processed_transcript
AUUAAUUACAAUUAAUUAAUUGUAGUAAGUAUGAAUGACUCAGGGUGUCGCUUCAGACGUUACUGGACUUAGUGUUAGUGGUGUCUAGUUGAAGCUGCAAGUGUUGGCAGUGGGUUUAUCACUGUUUGGAUUAUAGGGUCUUCACCCAAGAAUAAUAACUGAAGGUUUUGAAGCGGCAAAAGAAAAGGCACUCCAAUUUCUGGAACAAGUCAAAGUAAGCAAAGAGAUGGACAGAGAAACACUCAUCGAUGUGGCCAGGACAUCUCUGCGGACUAAAGUUCAUGCUGAACUUGCAGAUGUCUUGACAGAGGCUGUAGUGGACUCCAUCUUGGCCAUUAGGAAAAAGGACGAGCCCAUUGACCUCUUCAUGGUUGAGAUCAUGGAGAUGAAGCAUAAAUCUGAGACAGAUACAAGCUUAAUCAGAGGGCUUGUUUUGGAUCAUGGAGCUCGGCAUCCUGAUAUGAAGAAGAGAGUGGAAAAUGCCUACAUCCUCACGUGCAACGUGUCCUUAGAGUAUGAGAAAACAGAAGUGAAUUCUGGGUUUUUUUACAAGAGUGCAGAAGAGAGAGAAAAACUAGUAAAGGCUGAAAGAAAAUUCAUUGAAGAUAGAGUUAAAAAAAUCAUAGAGCUGAAAAAGAAAGUCUGUGGUGACUCAGAUAAAGGAUUUGUCGUUAUUAAUCAAAAGGUAAGAACUUAAAAUUGUGAAUUAGUCUUAUUCCUUUUUAAGGUGAAGGCUGCUGAGAAAUGUUUGUCUUUAUUCAGGGGAUUGACCCCUUUUCCUUAGAUGCCCUUGCGAAAGA